rnacentral:sRNA from 1 species
GGUCCCUGUUGCUAUUAAUAAUGGAUGGGUCUUAUUGAAUUGCACACCUGCCAGAAACCAGGCACGGCGAUUAACGAACUGGCUGGAGUUUUUGGUCGAGGUGGCUGUUUUUUAAUUUUUUGUGGGCCGCGUGCAUAUUGCAGAGUUCGCUUUCUCCUGCUUUCGCAUGUUUUCUGGGGAUUGAACUCAGGUCAUCGAGUUUGUGUGGCAAGCCACCAAAUCAUCCGGCUGGCCCUGGGCUUGAGUUUUUAGCCAGUCUAUCUGCUGCCUGGACAGUCACUGUCUGUACUCAGGGCAGAGUCUGCUUCGUGCCUCUGCUGCUGCUCGUAGACUUUCACAAGUGUAUUUGCAGAAAGGGAGUUGGUUUUCCACUCGCAGAGCCAGUCCCUUGCUAGCUGGUUCUUCCUCAUUCACCUGCUCCUAAUCUGCGGGCUGGGUACCGUGGACUCUGGCCUGUGACUCAGAGCUGCCACCUUCCCUAGAUGUGACACCGAUGGUGGCCUGAGGGCUGCAGUAGACAGAAUAAUGAUCUCCAAGAAUGCCUACAUCUUGGAACCUGUGAGUCUGUUUCCUUACAUGGUCUUUGCAGAUAUGAUUAAGCUAGGGACCUUGAGAUGGAGAGAUUACCCUGGAUUAGCCUGGAAAGCACGCUGUAAUCACGAAGGUCCUUAUAAGGGCAGGAGCAAAGCAGGAGAGUCAGAGGAGUGAGGACUGCAGUGAGGUUGGAGGGGCCAAGGAAUGCAGGCAGCCUUCGCAAUCUGAGAAGGCUAAGAGAAUAUUUGCUGCUGGAUUCGAACCUCCUGAAAAGCGCUGCCCACACUGUUGCCUCCAUUUCAGGCUUGAAGACUUCUAGAUCAGGAGACUAAUCCAUAUGAGGUGUUUUCAGUCGUCAAGUGUGAGGUAGCAUACACCUGCAACACCAAGGUCACAGAGGGAAGCCAUUGCUAUAAAAAGUGCGGCAGACGCAGCACCGCAAAAGACAAAACCUUAAGCCUGACUGCUUCCUAGUGGACCACCUUCGCCAUGUCCUCACGACAUACGUUUCAGCCCGCCCUUGUCCCUGCUCCCUUGGAUCCUGCUACAGGGAGAUACUCUGGUUAUUUUCCUAACCAAGGAAGAGGGCAAACCUGAUCAAGCACGGGCACCAUGAGCUAAUUACUUCAAUUAAAACAGACUCCAACUCUGGGCAUUGAAGACUUUCACAAGGAAGAAUUGUUGGCUGAAGACUCCAGUUAUUCUUACCGCCAUUCACUACACAAUGCUGGUUGCAGGCUCACUGAAGCUUUUCCCAUGAGACUGGGACGGCCAUUAUCCCUACUUCGAAGAUGAAGAGAUUAUGGUGAUGGAGAUUCAGGACACUGCUGGAGCUCAGACUGCUAAGAGGAGGUGAAGUCAGGGCUCUACAGGGUUGCCUGGAAGUCAUGCCCUCUCUACCACACUUGCUGCCCACACUUGAUAAAGGGCUUUCGAGUGUACACUGGGUUUCUAUUCCCAGAUUAAAGAUUCAUGACCAAUUUGACCA